AAUCGUUUUACACACAGGACGGACGGUCAAGUGCGUGUGGUCCUCGUCAUCACCCAUAAGACCGUCUGCUGGCAUCAGGCAAGCAGGGUCACAACACCUCACUUUUCCAGUGAAAUAAUCCAUUCAUCAAGGAGAAAUUGAAUCGGAAAGGUAACACGUGUGGCAUGCAUCAAGUGAGUUCUCUGGUUAGGGUCUCACAAGGCUGAAAUCAAGGUGUCAGUGGGCCUGGGACCUUACCUGGAGGCUCCGGGGAAAAAGCAGCUGCCAAGCUCAUUCAUCCAGAUGAAGAAAAUGAGGCAGCAAGGCACUGCUCCGAGUUUAAGAAAUGGGAAUGAGUGGAGAGCUUGGAAAGUGAGAGCCACAAUAUUGGGCCCUUCUGUGGAAGAAGCUGAGUAGCCAGAUCAAGGAAAUGAGGCAGCAGUGAUUUGAGGGACACUGAGAAAUGGAAUAUUUCCUGCCAUAUCAACAAACAAAGGAUGUCACAGUCGUCAACGAUUUCAGCCCUCCAAUGUGAGCCAGUGAGCCAAGGAAAUUCAGGGCUGAAAAGAAUACCUG